AUUGAACGCUGGCGGCAGGCUUAACACAUGCAAGUCGAGCGAGCGGCGGACGGGUGAGUAAUGUCUGGGAAACCGCCCGAUGGCGGGGGAUAACUACUGGAAACGGUCUCUAAUACCGUAUACCAUCAGAUGUGCCCAUAUGGGAUAUGCUAGCAGGUGGGGUAAUGGCUCACCUAGGCGACGAUCCCUAGCUGGUCUGCGAGGAUGACCGGCCACACUGGAACUGAGACACGGUCCAGACUCCAACGGGAGGCAGCAGUGGGGAAGAUUGCAAAAUGGGCGCAAGCCUGAUGCAGCCAUGCCGCGUGUGUGAAGAAGGCCUUCGGGUUGUAAAGCACUUUCAGCGAGGAGGCGUUACUCGCAGAAGAAGCACCGGCUAACUCCGUGCCAGCAGCCGCGGUAAUAC
rnacentral:rRNA from 1 species